rnacentral:rRNA from 1 species
AUACGGAGGAUCCGAGCGUUAUCCGGAUUUAUUGGGUUUAAAGGGUGCGCAGGCGGCCAUUUAAGUCAGCGGUUAAAUCGUGGGGCUCAACCCCAUUCUGCCGUUGAUACUGGGUGGCUUGAUUGCGGUCGAGGUUGGCGGAAUUCGUUGUGUAGCGGCGAAAUGCAUAGAUAUGACGAAGAACACCGAUUGCGUAGGCAGCUGACCAGACCGCAAAUGACGCUCAUGCACGAAAGUGCGGGGAUCGAACAGGAUUAGAUACCCUGGUAGUCCGCACAGUAAACGAUGAAUACUUGUUUUCGGCGAUAUAAUGUCGGAGGCAAAGCGAAAGCGAUAAGUAUUCCACCUGGGGAGUACGCCGGCAACGGUGAAACUCAAAUGAAUUGGCGGGG